rnacentral:rRNA from 1 species
GUUAAGCGACUAAGCGUACACGGUGGAUGCCCUGGCAGUCAGAGGCGAUGAAGGACGUGCUAAUCUGCGAUAAGCGUCGGUAAGGUGAUAUGAACCGUUAUAACCGGCGAUUUCCGAAUGGGGAAACCCAGUGUGAUUCGUCACACUAUCAUUAACUGAAUCCAUAGGUUAAUGAGGCGAACCGGGGGAACUGAAACAUCUAAGUACCCCGAGGAAAAGAAAUCAACCGAGAUUCCCCCAGUAGCGGCGAGCGAACGGGGAGCAGCCCAGAGCCUGAAUCAGUGUGUGUGUUAGUGGAAGCGUCUGGAAAGGCGCGCGAUACAGGGUGACAGCCCCGUACACAAAAAUGCACAUGCUGUGAGCUCGAUGAGUAGGGCGGGACACGUGGUAUCCUGUCUGAAUAUGGGGGGACCAUCCUCCAAGGCUAAAUACUCCUGACUGACCGAUAGUGAACCAGUACCGUGAGGGAAAGGCGAAAAGAACCCCGGCGAGGGGAGUGAAAAAGAACCUGAAACCGUGUACGUACAAGCAGUGGGAGCACGCUUAGGCGUGUGACUGCGUACCUUUUGUAUAAUGGGUCAGCGACUUAUAUUCUGUAGCAAGGUUAACCGAAUAGGGGAGCCGAAGGGAAACCGAGUCUUAACUGGGCGUUAAGUUGCAGGGUAUAGACCCGAAACCCGGUGAUCUAGCCAUGGGCAGGUUGAAGGUUGGGUAACACUAACUGGAGGACCGAACCGACUAAUGUUGAAAAAUUAGCGGAUGACUUGUGGCUGGGGGUGAAAGGCCAAUCAAACCGGGAGAUAGCUGGUUCUCCCCGAAAGCUAUUUAGGUAGCGCCUCGUGAAUUCAUCUCCGGGGGUAGAGCACUGUUUCGGCAAGGGGGUCAUCCCGACUUACCAACCCGAUGCAAACUGCGAAUACCGGAGAAUGUUAUCACGGGAGACACACGGCGGGUGCUAACGUCCGUCGUGAAGAGGGAAACAACCCAGACCGCCAGCUAAGGUCCCAAAGUCAUGGUUAAGUGGGAAACGAUGUGGGAAGGCCCAGACAGCCAGGAUGUUGGCUUAGAAGCAGCCAUCAUUUAAAGAAAGCGUAAUAGCUCACUGGUCGAGUCGGCCUGCGCGGAAGAUGUAACGGGGCUAAACCAUGCACCGAAGCUGCGGCAGCGACGCUGAUGCGUUGUUGGGUAGGGGAGCGUUCUGUAAGCCUG